UACGUAGGAGGCGAGCGCUGUCCGGAAUUACUGGGCGUAAAGAGCGCGUAGGCGGCACGGUACGACCGGUGUGAAAGCCCCCGGCUCAACUGGGGAGGGUCAUUGGAAACUGGGAGACUUGAGUGCAGAAGAGGAAAGUGGAAUUCCAUGUGUAGCGGUGAAAUGCGUAGAGAUAUGGAGGAACACCAGUGGCGAAGGCGACUUUCUGGUCUGUAACUGACACUGAGGCGCGAAAGCGUGGGAAGCAAACAGG
rnacentral:rRNA from 1 species